rnacentral:rRNA from 1 species
UUAAUAUUUAUUUAUUUUAUUUAUUUGUUUAUUUAUUAAAUUAUUAAAAAUAAUUAUAUUAUGAAUUGUUUUAGUAUUUUUUAAAGAAAAAAUAAUUUUAAUUAUAGUGAAAUAGUAUUGUGAGAGAAAAUUGAAAUAAUUUGAAAAAUUAUUAGUUUAUAAGAAAAUUUUAUUUAUUGUACCUUGUGUAUCAGGGUUUAUUAAAUAAAGAUUAUGAAUAUUAAUUUUUUCGAUUUUAAAAGAGUUAAUAUAUUAUAAAAGUUAUUGUAAUAAAAUUAUUUUUAAUAAUAUAUUAGAAGUGAAAUGUUAUUCGGUUUUAAAGGUAUCUAGUUCUUUAAGAAAUAAAUUUAAUUUAGAAAUUUUAUAUUAUUUAGUUAAAUAGAUUAAUUAGAUGAAUAUUUAAUUUUAAUAUUUUAUGGGAUAAGCUAUAAAAUAGAUUAUUAUAAAUAAUUAGAUAGUAUAAUAAAUAUAAGCUUAGAAAUAGCUAUUAUUAGUAAAAAUGUUAUAAUUUAUAUUUUAGGAAAUAUUAUUUAAUAGAUUUUUAAUUAGUUAUUAAAGUAUUUGUUUUAAUUUUAAAAAUGAAGUAAUAAUGAUAUAAUUAGUAUAUAAGUUUGUAUAGAUAAAGAUAAAUGAAAAGUUUAUUUAAGGAAUUAGGCAAAAACAAUAUUCGCCUGUUUAACAAAAACAUGUCCUUUUGAAAUUUUUUUAAGGUUUGACCUGCCCACUGAUGUAUUAAAUGGCCGCAGUAUAUUAACUGUGCAAAGGUAGCAUAAUCAUUAGUCUUUUAAUUGGAGGCUAGAAUGAAUGGUUGGACGAGAUAUUGGCUGUUUCAUAUAAAUUUAAGAUAGAAUUUUAUUUUUUAGUAAAAAAGCUAAAAUAUUCUUAAAAGACGAGAAGACCCUAUAAAUCUUUAUAUUUAGGUUUUUAUAAUUAUAUAGAAAUUUUUAGUUAUAAUUAUUAGUAAUAUUUUAUUGGGGUGAUAUUAAAAUUUAAUUAACUUUUAAAUUGAAAGAAUCAUUAAUUUAUGAGGAAUUGAUCCGUUAAUAGCGAUUAAUAAUUUAAGUUACUUUAGGGAUAACAGCGUAAUUUUUUUGGAGAGUUCUUAUCGAUAAAAAAGAUUGCGACCUCGAUGUUGGAUUAAGAUAUAGGUUUAGGUGUAGUAGUUUAAGCUUUAAGUCUGUUCGACUUUUAAAAUCUUACAUGAUCUGAGUUCAAACCGGUGUAAGCCAGGUUGGUUUCUAUCUUUAAGUUUUUAAAGUAUUUUAGUACGAGAGGACCAAAUAUUUGAUAAAUAAUUAUUUAUAGAUUGAAUUUUAUUAAUAUAAG